CAGCAGCCGCGGUAAUACAGAGGGUGAGAGCGUUAAUCGGAUUUACUGGGCGUAAAGCGUGCGUAGGCGGCUAAUUGAGUCGGAUGUGAAAUCCCCGAGCUUAACUUGGGAAUUGCAUUCGAUACUGGUUAGCUAGAGUGUGGGAGAGGAUGGUAGAAUUCCAGGUGUAGCGGUGAAAUGCGUAGAGAUCUGGAGGAAUACCGAUGGCGAAGGCAGCCAUCUGGCCUAACACUGACGCUGAGGUACGAAAGCAUGGGGAGCAAACAGGAUUAGAUACCCGCGUAGUCCCUGUCUCUUAUAC
rnacentral:rRNA from 1 species